GUUUCCGGUUCCGCCAUUUGAAAAAAAACCUUCGUAACUGCUCAGCUGAACCCGAAGCUUGAUGAAGAAGGCCGUCAAUAUUUCAACAAAAACUAACAGAAUAUGGAUCAGAUUCGGACAACGACUUCUUAAGACAUUCACACAACAGGCUAAACAAUUCAAAGAGGGAUCUCUGGAUGAUCGAGCAGCAAGUCCAGCAUUAUGUGGGAAAGAUACUACAGGUGUACACAGAAAAGGCCAUGUUCUUGUACAAGACACGGUUGGAGUUCAUAAAAGAUUAAGCUGCCUCGUGCUAUACAGACUUGGAUAAAAACAAGCUGUCCAAUGAAUGGUGACUACUCAAGAGGAGCCAGAAAGUCAACUAAAGCCAGG